rnacentral:rRNA from 1 species
GAUUAACGCUGGCGGCGUGCAUAACACAUGCAAGUCGAACGAUGAAGCUUAGUAGACUUCUUCGGAAAGACACUAAGCGGAUUAGUGGCGAACGGGUGAGUAACGCGUGAGUAACCUGCCUUACACAAGGGGAUAGCCUUUGGAAACGAAGAAUAAUACCCUAUCAAACCAUAAAAGCACAUGCUAGAAUGGUCAAAGUGAUAGCGGUGUAAGAUGGACUUGCGUCUGAUUAGCUAGUUGGUGAGAUAAAAGCUCACCAAGGCAACGAUCAGUAGCCGGCUUGAGAGAGUGUACGGCCACAUUGGGACUGAGACACGGCCCAGACUCCUACGGGAGGCAGCAGUGGGGAAUUUUGCACAAUGGGGGAAACCCUGAUGCAGCGACGCCGCGUGAUUUAGAAGGCCUUCGGGUUGUAAAAAUCUUUUGUAUAGGAAGAAAAUGACAGUACUAUACGAAUAAGGUCCGGCUAAUUACGUG